AGUGAACGCUGGCGGUAGGCCUAACACAUGCAAGUCGAACGGCAGCACCGUACGAGCUUGCUCUUACGGGUGGCGAGUGGCGGACGGGUGAGGAAUACAUCGUACUCUACUUUUUCGUGUGGGAUCACGUAGGUAAACUUACUCUAAUACCGCAUACGCCCUACGGUUGAAAGCAGGGGAUCUUCGCACCUUGCGCGAUUGGAUUAGCCGCUGUCGGAUUAGCUAGUUGGCUGGGUAAAGGCCCACCCAGGCGCCGAUCCGUAGCUGGUCUGAGAGGAUGAUAAGCCACACGGGAGCUGGAACACGGUCAAGACGACUAAGGGAGGCAGCAGAGGGGAAUAUGAGACAAUGGGGGGGAACCUGAUCCAGUCAGAGCGAGUGGGUGAAGAAGGCCCUCGGGUUGGAAAGACGGUUUGUUGGGAAAGAAAAGCAGUAGGUUAAGACCAAGCGGGUCUGACGGUACCCAAAGAAUAAGCACCGGCUAACUUCGUG
rnacentral:rRNA from 1 species